UUUCUGCAGGUAAAAGUGGUCUGUUCAAAGGAAUUCAUAUUUAAAAUAUUAAACUAAAUUAUUCAUGGGUCCAACCAAAGGACCUUCUGCAAAGUACCAGUUAAUGAAAGCAUCCCCAGGGUUCUCCCUACUUCUGAGCCAGUGUCGGGAAUCUGUACCAUUGCAGGCAGGGUGAUCUUACCAUUUUCAUUUGCUUUUUGCCCCCUUGUCUGAAGGAAGAAUCUUUGCUCGAAAUCCUGUGGAUUUGAAUGCUGACUCCACCACUUAACUGGGUGUGAGGACCUGGGUUGGGGUUGUGCCACUGUGAGCUGCCAGCAGUGUUUAGGGCUCCCGAUCACGUACAGACCUGCCUCUUAGAGCUUAAAGGAGACUUAGGUUGGAUCCAGCUUCCGCAGUGGCAGGCUCAGCAGGCUGAGAGCAGUCCCGCAGCUGACGGAGAAAGAAGGCUCCGGUCCUCGGGGCAGCCCGCCGCCAGUUCUCUGGGCUGCUCUCAGCCACCUGGGCCAGUGGACGCCUCACCCUGAUGUCCUCCAGAAACCCACCAAGGUGCAUAAGAAAAAGAAUCACAAAACAAGACUCAAUCAAGAGAGUGUCACAAUCAAGAGAAUUGACUAUGACUUUGGUCAGGUUACUAACUUCUAAGUUUUCUCAUCUGUACAAGAGAAUGAACAACAGUAUCUUACCUAUGGCAAAAACUGUUCGUUAUGUCCCAAGAUCGUUUCUCCUUCGACUUUUAGCUGGGGGCAUAUGGCUGUACCAAAUAAUGACUACACUUCCCAGCCUGCUUUGCAGCUAUAGUCAUAGAGCUGUGUAACCAUGUGACCAAGUUCUGGCCAAUGGGGCAUCGGUUCUCUGCUUUGGCAAAAUGCUGCCAGUCUUCUGGACCCAAACCUCGAUUCCUAAGGAAUUCCAGGGGUAAAACAAGGACAGUCAAAUUGAAGAAGGAAAUUUGUCACAAGGUUUAUUAUCAAUGGAUAAAAGGAAAGAGGAGAGAAAGAUCAAGAUGGAUGUCUUAGUCAUCUAAGGCAUCUGCCUUCGGCUCAGGUCAUGAUCCCG